rnacentral:rRNA from 1 species
UGCGUAGGGGGCAAGCGUUGUCCGGAUUCAUUGGGCGUAAAGAGCGUGUAGGCGGCCAGGUAGGUCGGUUGUGAAAACUGGAGGCUCAACCUUCAGAGGUCGACCGAAACCAUCUGGCUAGAGUCCGGGAGAGGAGAGUGGAAUUCCGGGUGUAGUGGUGGAAUGCGUAGAGAUCCGGAGGAACACCAGCGGCGAAGGCGGCAUCCUGGACUGGUCCUGACACUCAGGAGCGAAAGCGUGGGGAGCGAUCCGG